rnacentral:rRNA from 1 species
AGGACGAACGCUGGCGGCGUGCUUAACACAUGCAAGUCGAACGGAAAGGCCCUGCUUGCAGGGUACUCGAGUGGCGAACGGGUGGGUAACACGUGGGUGAUCUGCCCUGCACUUCGGGAUAAGCCUGGGAAACUGGGUCUAAUACCGGAUAGGAGCCAUUUUUUAGUGUGAUGGUUGGAAAGUUUUUUUCGGUGUAGGAUGAGCUCGCGGCCUAUCAGCUUGUUGGUGGGGUAAUGGCCUACCAAGGCGGCGACGGGUA